CAAAGGCUUGGUCCUGACUUUACUAUCAGCCGUAACACAACUUACACAUGCAAGUCUCCGCAGCCCCGUGAGAAUGCCCUUAAUCCCCUGCCCGGGGACGAGGAGCGGGCAUCAGGCUCAAUUAUUUAGCCCAAGACGCCUUGCCACGCCACACCCCCAAGGGAACUCAGCAGUGAUAAAUAUUAAGCCAUGAGCACUAAGCUUGACUUAGUUAGUGCUAAGAGGGCCGGUAAAACUCGUGCCAGCCACCGCGGUUAUACGAGAGGCCCUAGUUGAUAGGUGCGGCGUAAAGGGUGGUUAAGGAGAGCAAAAAUUAAAGUCAAAGGGCCUCUUGGCCGUCAUACGCUUCUGAGUGUCCGAAGCCCAAAUACGAAAGUAACUUUAGCAAAGCCCACCCGACCCCACGAAAGCUGAGAAACAAACUGGGAUUAGAUACCCCACUAUGCUCAGCCAUAAACCUAGACGUUUAAUCACAACAAACGUCCGCCAGGGUACUACGAGCGUCAGCUUAAAACCCAAAGGACUUGGCGGUGCCUUAGACCCCCCUAGAGGAGCCUGUUCUAGAACCGAUAACCCCCGUUAAACCUCACCACUUCUAGUCAUCCCCGCCUAUAUACCGCCGUCGUCAGCUUACCCUGUGAAGGCUCAAUAGUAAGCAAAGUGGGCACAACCCAAAACGUCAGGUCGAGGUGUAGCGUACGAAGUGGGAAGAAAUGGGCUACAUUUUCUAUAAUAGAAUAAAACGAAUGGCAUCAUGAAAAUUUGAUGCUUGAAGGAGGAUUUAAUAGUAAAAAGGAAAUAGAGUGUCCUUUUGAACCCGGCUCUGAGGCGCGUACACACCGCCCGUCACUCUCCCCUGUAAUAGCAAUCAACGUAGAUAACAACAAAGCACCAACAAGGGGAGGCAAGUCGUAACAUGGUAAGUGUACCGGAAGGUGCACUUGGAUCAAACC
rnacentral:ncRNA from 1 species